CACGUAGGGCGCAAGCGUUGUCCGGAAUUAUUGGGCGUAAAGAGCUCGUAGGUGGUUUGUUACGUCUGCUGUGAAAACCUAGGGCUUAACCCUGGGCUUGCAGUGGAUACGGGCAGACUAGAGGUAGGUAGGGGAGAAUGGAAUUCCUGGUGUAGCGGUGAAAUGCGCAGAUAUCAGGAGGAACACCGGUGGCGAAGGCGGUUCUCUGGGCCCUACCUGACACUGAGGAGCGAAAGCGUGGGGAGCGAACAGG
rnacentral:rRNA from 1 species